GUAGAGCAGCGGAUUGAAAAUCCGCGUGUCCGUGGUUCGAUUCCGCGACUGGCCA
rnacentral:tRNA from 1 species